CCACAUUAAACGAGAUCAGCCAGGGUAGGCAGCUCAUGCUAGGGACGGGCUCCACCCAACAGCAAGCCCUUGGGCAACUUGUGAAACUGCAUAGACUGAGUGCCCAGAUCUUCCGCAGGCAGGAUUCUGAGGCCCCAGACGCCCUAGUAUGGAAUUACUGGAGUUCUAAGACCUGGCCACUCCUGAGGAUUAUAUCAGCCACUUGAGAAAUGAUGGGAUCAUUUAAGCUCAUUUAAGGUAUUAUCUAGCAGUUGGUAAUAGUGCGUCUAAUUACAGACUAGAGGAAAUAUUUAGUUGGAGGGAGUAGGGGAGAAGAGGAUGAGAAAAGAGAGACUUAUAAGUGCAUCUUCCUCCUUCAUCUUUCUACUUGUACUUACCUCUCCUGCUUCCUGUUCUGUCUUGCAUUUACUACCACUAAAUGCCAUUCACAUGACCAGGAAUGUUAGAUUGUCACUAUCACCUGCUUCCAUGGAACACAUAAAUGUUUCAUGUUACUGUGUUCAAAAUAGUGAUUAAGUAGAAUAAAUGUUAUAGCUAUAAAAACUGAGGCUCGGAGAGAUCAAUAAUCAUAACAUCUAGCAUUUACAUGACACUUUUAGUCUUCCAAGUACCUUUCUAUAUCCUAACUCAUGUGACAUAGGUGAUAUUCUGGGCACCUCUGUAUGUCUCAGCUUCAACUUUGAAAGAGG
rnacentral:lncRNA from 1 species